rnacentral:rRNA from 1 species
GGGGAAUAUUGCACAAUGGGCGAAAGCCUGAUGCAGCGACGCCGCGUGAGCGAAGAAGGCCUUCGGGUCGUAAAGCUCUGUCCUAUGGGACGAUAAUGACGGUACCAUAGGAGGAAGCCCCGGCUAACUACGUGCCAGCAGCCGCGGUAAUACGUAGGGGGCGAGCGUUGUCCGGAAUGACUGGGCGUAAAGGGUACGUAGGCGGCCAGGUAAGUCAGGUGUGAAAUUCUAGGGCUCAACCCUAGUGAGCACUUGAAACUGCUUGGCUUGAGUCGAGGAGAGGAAGGUGGAAUUCCUGGUGCAGCGGUGAAAUGCGUAGAUAUCAGGAGGAAUACCAGUGGCGAAGGCGACCUUCUGGCCUUGGACUGACGCUGAGGUACGAAAGCGUGGGGAGCAAAC